CGCUCUUUGUUUCGACAAAGGGAGGAAAGUCCGGGCUCCAAAGGGCAGGGUGCCAGGUAACUCCUGGGAGGUGUGAACCUACGGAAAGUGCCACAGAAAAUAUACCGCCCGCUUGUUCUUCUUUUUGAGGCUGGUCCUUAAAUUGAUUAGAGCAAGCGGGUAAGGGUGAAAUGGUGCGGUAAGAGCGCACCGCGCGAUUGGCAACAGUCGUGGCAGGGAAAACCCCACCCGGAGCAAGACCAAAUAGGAAUCCAGUUGACUGCAAAGUCAUAUCGUGCGGCCCGCACGGGAUUCGGGUAGGUCGCUUGAGGCGUACGGUGACGUGUGUCCCAGAUGAAUGAUUGUCCGCG
rnacentral:RNase_P_RNA from 1 species